CAGUCGCCGCGGUAAUACGUAGGUGCCAAGCGUUGUCCGGAAUUAUUGGGCGUAAAGGGCUCGCAGGCGGUUUCUUAAGUCUGAUGUGAAAGCCCCCGGCUCAACCGGGGAGGGUCAUUGGAAACUGGGAGACUUGAGUGCAGAAGAGGAGAGUGGAAUUCCUGGUGUAGCGGUGAAAUGCGUAGAGAUGUGGAGGAACACCAGUGGCGAAGGCGACUCUCUGGUCUGUAACUGACGCUGAGGAGCGAAAGCGUGGGGAGCGAACAGGAUUAGAUACCCCGGUAGUCCCUGUCUCUUAUAC
rnacentral:rRNA from 1 species